GGACAGAUAACUCUGGCCACAUGGCCAACAGCACAUUGGUGGGAUGGUCGAGUGUAUGCGGACGUGUACGACAGCGGGGAAUAGAAAGCCGCGGAUGCAUGUAAGCCAUCAUGCGCCAUAUUCUCCCUGCGGCCCAACCGCUAUGCCUGGUUACCGUUAGGGGGGACUUGCACCAAGGGUAAUCCAUCACAAUGGAUUUGCUUCUGGCUGUCUAGGUGACUUGCGUUGUCUGGUCUGGGUGGGAGUCUUGUUUGCCCUCAUCGUAUCAGGUGCAGUGCCUGCUCGCCCGCUGGCUGUACUCUUUGUGAGUCUGGAGCCCACUGUAACAACCACACUGCCUCGAGGCAUCCCCAGCCCCGGCGGUAAACUGAUGGGUGCUAGCCUAGUCCGUGCCCACCCUCUGCUUUGUGUGCACGAUAGGUUACAAGUUACAAGUUCCGCACAAGUGCGGGGGUGUCCAUAAAAGCCGGGGGCCCCAUGGGCGAUAAAUCGUUUUUAGUGCGGUUAUGUGGUGGACCAUCAUCGUCCGCCCUCAUCCACUUGAGCACGAAGCGCCUUAGUGCAACGUGCCGGGUCUCCCAGACUUCCGAGAGGAACCUGGCUAGUGCUAGGGAUGGGGCCUCGGUCAAAAUCGUGUGCAUGUUGCACCCUUGAAACACGAGGUCACGUUCGUACUUACGUUCGUAUUAGAGCAGCAAAGACAGCAGCAUCCUGAUGCAUGAGGUGCGACUAAUGACAAAGUCUGCAUAAGCGGAGCAAACUCGCCACUUGCUGCUCACACACACACGAACAAAAAUCCUCCCUACCCGCGAUAUGACCCAUUGUGCAAAUGCUCUGCAAGGAAAUCCCCGCCUUCUCAAUGAAGUCAUGAACCUAUCCGACCAAUAAGCGGGUAUCGUUCAAAUGGCCAACAGCCAUGUGAAACACAAAACCCAAAUAUAUGGCAAAAGCAAACAGUUGGCAAGCCUGCCAUAAUGAAGCGUCCUCUUGUGCCGCUGACCAACAUAGCUUGGUUAUUGCCGCGGGCUCCACAAUGCGGAAGUGGAGACCCUGCACAGGUACAGAUGAAACGGUUAAACAUGCCGAUUCCAACGACUAACGGUUGCAUUUGAGCGUGAACAGCAAUUUACCCCCCAAGCUUGCGGCCCAGACUUACCGUGCACGAUACCGUGCUAAGGCGCCUCACGUACGUCGCAGCCUCGUUAGACCUGAGGCCGCGCACUCGAGCAACUUUCAAACAGAAAGCCUGCGGAAGUGGAGACCCUGCAUAAGUACAGACGAAACGGUUAAAUAUGGCAAUACCAACGACUAACGGUUGCAUUUGAGCGCGAACGGCAGUUUACCCCCCAAGCUUGCGGCCCAGACUUACCGUGCACGAUACCGUGCUAAGGCGCCUCACGUACGUCGCAGCCUCGUGCAAAGCUUCACGCCAGGCAACCGCUAAAAUAAAAUCGGUCCAUUCUAAACCCCGAAUCGCAUCAGGUCACACCCCAAAUAGCAUAGGGCCAUGCAAACCCACCGAACCACAUUAUGUCAGGUCACCCCCCAAUUAGCAUAGGUCCAGGCAAACCCCCCGAACCACAUUGUGCCGGGUAACCCCUCAAAUCGCAUCGUUCCAUGCAAACCCUCCGAACCACAUUGCGGCAGGCAACCCCCCAGAUAGCAUCGGUCCAUGCAAACCCACCGAACCACAUUGCGCCGGGUAACCCCUCGAAUCGCAUCGUUCCAUGCAAACCCACCGAACCACAUGAUGUCAGGUCACCCCCCAAUUAGCAUAGGUCCAGGCAAACCCCCCGAACUGCAUUAUGCCAGAUAACCCCCCAAAUAGCAUCGGUCCAUGCAAACCCCCGAACUGCAUUAUGCCAGUUAACCCCCCAGAUAGCAUCGGUCCAUGCAAACCCACCGAACCACAUGAUGUCAGGUCACCCCCCAAUUAGCAUAGGUCCAGGCAAACCCCCCGAACAAAUUAUGCCAGAUAACCCCCCAGAUAGCAUCGGUCCAUGCAAACCCCCGAACUGCAUUAUGCCAGUUAACCCCCCAGAUAGCAUCGGUCCAUGCAAACCCACCGAACCACAUGAUGUCAGGUCACCCCCCAAUUAGCAUAGGUCCAGGCAAACCCCCCGAAACAAAUUAUGCCAGAUAACCCCCCAAAUAGCAACGGUCCAUGCAAUCCCCCGAACUGCACUAUGCCAGUUAACCCCCCAAAUAGCAUCGGUCCAUGCAAACCCCCCGAACCACAUU
rnacentral:lncRNA from 1 species